GGUGACAAAGUUCUUCUUCUGGGUAUUGGAAUGCUUACCAUUGUCCGUGUGGGUCUCUAACCACCCUCGGAAGAGCACUCGCAGACUGAUGUCUGUUAAAGUUUCCAGGUCCUUUCUACAGGAAGGCCCCCAUGUAUUAUCUAUACAGCCAAAGAACACAAACAACCAUUGACUUUGUUUUCUGAUCAUAAAAUUUAACGUCGCUGCGGGAAAAAUCUCGCACAAGCUCUUUUGAAAUUUGAAGUUAUGGACAAUAAUUGCCAAGGAUUUGCCUAAAAAGGGAAAAGGGUCGCGACCCUGGAACUUUUCAUUGAAAGGACACACCAUAGAGUUGAGCUUCGAAAAGCCCCUAUCGCACAAUUUUCCCUGGUGCAGUGUCAGCGUUUGAUCCUGGGCAAGACACUCACCUGGACGUAGCACACAUCAAAAAAGCAAACACAUGUCGUGCUAAUCUAGGAAGCCCAACGACGCCCUCGCAAAUGACCUCCAUAUUCGCACUGCAGAGAACGGAUCAACCGUCACUCAAGCCGGUAUAAAGAACGCCUCCACAGCUCACAUCAACCACCUUAACCCGAUGACCCGAUGGCUUAAACAAAAACACCUUGGAGGUCUGUGGACAAGAAGACCAAAUAACUCUUAAGUUCUGAAGCAGUAAUUGUUUUUAUACUAUUU
ensembl:ncRNA lncRNA:CR45200 long non-coding RNA:CR45200